rnacentral:misc_RNA from 1 species
AAGAGACGUUGCCCUUCGGGGUAUACCUCCCACCCUUUGUUUAUUAUACCUUUGUUGCUUUGGCGGGCCCGUCCUCGGACCACCGGCUUCUGCCUGGUCAGUGCCCGCCAGAGGACCUAAAACUCUGUUUGUUAAUAUUGUCUGAGUACUAUAUAAUAGUUA